GCCAACAUGAUAGAUUAUAUUUUGAUUAGGUCACUAAUCGAUUCGAGCUGACCAAUGCCAUCAAAGUAAAUCAGUAUGACUGAUUCAAGUGUCUUUAGACUAGCUUGUAUAAAGUCUCCUUCAAGACUUGGUGAAGUCAGCGGGAGGAUUUACGAUUUACAGGUCAAUUUCUUCUCUUAUUCUCAAAUCAUUAAAUCAAAUUUUCUAAAUUAUUAGGUCCUUAAAAUGAUAUAGUUAUGAAGAUAGCUUGUCCUUAGCCUUUCAUUAAGGUACAUGAUAAUGAGUUCUAUAUUCUAAAUAAGCAUUGGAGGUGCCACAUGCUUGGUAUCUAUUGGGUAUUGAAAUUAUCAUUCAUCGUAUGACCAUCUUGUUAUGCCCUCCAAAUCAAUGCUCAGGUUGGUCGAGCCACACUCAGAUCUGGAUAUUCAUUUGUUGGAUGCGCUUGAUGUAGUUAUGUUAAUGGUUGGACCUAACCAGAAUUUUUAGUGGAGGCACCACACGCCUGCUGAAGAGAUGUCUGGGGUAAAAUCUAAUUGCUAGAAGUUGUUUAGAUAAAUAAUUGUUUAGGAACCUACCCAUGGAUGCCC
rnacentral:lncRNA from 1 species